AGUAGACCUUCCAUUUGAUGCUGGUUUCAAGGAAGGCAAGCAUAUGACUAGCACAAAAUGUAGAUGUUUCCUUUUCUGUGAAAAGAUUACUUCUGUAUUGCAGGAAGAACUAUCUGGUGCUCUGUUUUUGCUUCAAAGACUGGUAAGCAUAGUCAUGCUAAGUGAACUUUGUUGCCAUUGAUAUAUUCAUCUGAGCGUCGCGAAUCAACAACGGAGCAGGUCAUGGAAUAGAGGAAGGAGGCGUGGCGAUGUUGUGGCGAACGAUGCCAGUCAGCGAUGUAGCGCCGUCCACAGGCGACGACCAGGUCAAGCAUGUCGAUCCCCUCCCUCUCUCUCUCUCUCUCUCUCUCUCUCUCUCUCUCUCUCUCUCUCUCUCUCUCUCUCUCUCUCUCUCUCUCUCUCUCUCUCUCUCUCUCUCUCUCUCUCUCUCUCUCUCUCUCUCUCUCUCUCUCUCUCUCUCUCUCUCUCUCUCUCUCGUUGUGCACUGCCGUAGCUAAAAUGGUUCAUUUAGAGAAGGGAGUUUGACCAAGUUUUUAUUUUCCUUAAGUUUUUACAUUCUGUGAUUCUGAAUCAAAUGUUACACAUGUUAAUGAUUUUUCAUGGCCCAUGUUGUUAAGAAACAUAUUGUAUUGUUUCCUUUUUAUGAAAGCAAUGUUGUUUUCUGACUGUGAGGUUCUCCAUGCAUAUGGAUUGAUCAUAUUUUCAGUGUUCUGAAGUUUUCAUAUGAGGGUAGGCAGGUAUAGAUUAAUGUUAAGGCUUGAAAAUUAGGGAAAUGCUAAUCGGUGUAUUAGAAGUUUGCUCUUUGAAUUUUGAGCUUAUCUACAUGUUGCCAUUGAUUUUCUGUACUGGCAAUGUAUUUGGCUCAUAUGUGAUGAUAGAUUUCUUGCAAUGUACUGGCAUAGAUUAAGUUCGUGUAACUGUUAUUACAUUUUGUAUAUAAUAAUAAUAAUUAGCAAGUUACACUCAUGUUUAGGGUACUAGCAUUCAGAGUAAGAGUUAAUCUUGCGCUGUCGGUAUGGGUUACAGGAGUAUUCUGUAUUAACACAUUUGUAAAUGGGAAAAUUUGUUGCUUUAAAGCAUUUCUAAUAUUUUUGCAUUACUUUGCACCAUUGAUUCAUUGAUCAUGUCCUUAUUCACAUACUUUUUAGCAUAUGAAAAUUCACACUCCAAUGUAAUAUUAGUAAGUAGGCGAUCUGGUUGCCAUUAUGGACAUAAAUACUGGUAUUGCUUCUGCAGUUCAUUUUUUUUAGCAAAAUGUGUGUGUUCAAUUUUUUUGUCAAGCUCUUAAAACAAUUUUAAUGGUCAAACUAUUUAGUGGGUUUUUUGUGAGUACAAGCAUGGGUGGAUCUAACUCCCAGUGACACCGAGCGGCUGCCCAGGCUGCUCUGGCAAGUUUUUCUUAAAUAGUACUCCCUCCGUUCUUUUUUAAUUGACUCAGAUUUAGUACAAGUUUGUACUAAAUUCGAGUCAAUUAAAAAGGAACGGAGGGAGUAGUGUACUUUUUUCAGGAUGAUUAUAUGCUCUUCACUUCCCUGGAUGUAGUUUGAAGUGGCAAGGAGCUUUUGAUUCGUGGCAGAUAGGAAAGUCUGGUAUAUUAAAUAGCCGUCGUAUGCAAUAUGUGGUAGAUAUAAUUCAGGCAAAUCCCUCUUGAGUUGUUUCUCCUUAUAUAGCAUGAUACAACAAUUGUCGCCUUUUAUUCGCUUGCAAUAUGAGGUAUAAUCAUGUUGCUGUUUUGAGUACAAGAAAAUAAAGAUCCCAGGCACUGAAAACAUCUUUAUUUGUUGCUGAACUGGAUGGA